rnacentral:rRNA from 1 species
UCAGGAUGAACGCUGGCGGCGUGCCUAAUACAUGCAAGUCGAGCGAACUGACGAGGAGCUUGCUCCUUUGACGUUAGCGGCGGACGGGUGAGUAACACGUGGGUAACCUACCUAUAAGACUGGAAUAACUCCGGGAAACCGGGGCUAAUGCCGGAUAACAUAUCGAACCGCAUGGUUCGAUAGUGAAAGACGGUCUUGCUGUCACUUAUAGAUGGACCCGCGCCGUAUUAGCUAGUUGGUGAGGUAACGGCUCACCAAGGCAACGAUACGUAGCCGACCUGAGAGGGUGAUCGGCCACACUGGAACUGAGACACGGUCCAGACUCCUACGGGAGGCAGCAGUAGGGAAUCUUCCGCAAUGGGCGAAAGCCUGACGGAGCAACGCCGCGUGAGUGAUGAAGGUCUUCGGAUCGUAAAGCUCUGUUGUUAGGGAAGAACAAAUGUGUAAGUAACUGUGCACAUCUUGACGGUACCUAACCAGAAAGCCACGGCUAACUACGUGCCAGCAGCCGCGGUAAUACGUAGGUGGCAAGCGUUAUCCGGAAUUAUUGGGCGUAAAGCGCGCGUAGGCGGUUUUUUAAGUCUGAUGUGAAAGCCCACGGCUCAACCGUGGAGGGUCAUUGGAAACUGGAAAACUUGAGUGCAGAAGAGGAAAGUGGAAUUCCAUGUGUAGCGGUGAAAUGCGCAGAGAUAUGGAGG